rnacentral:rRNA from 1 species
UCCUACGGGGGGCAGCAGUAGGGAAUUUUCGUCAAUGGGCGCAAGCCUGCACGAGCAAUGCCGCGUGAACGAGGAAGGUCUUCUGAUCGUAAAGCUCUGUUGAAGGGGAAAAAGAGCGGAGAGAGGAAAUGGUCUCCGAUUGAUAUUACCCUUCGAGGAAGUCACGGCUAACUACGUGCCAGCAGCCGCGGUAAUACGUAGGUGGCGAGCGUUAUCCGGAAUGAUUGGGCGUAAAGGGUGCGUAGGCGGCCUGCUAAGUCUGGAGUGAAAGGUACCGGCUCAACCGGGACAGGCUCUGGAAACUG